CGUGACAGCUGUAGAAGAACCUGUUGACUGCCCAAAUGUUUCUAGUAUUGCUUGCAAGUAUGCUUCAAUUUUUCAGGAAUUUCUGCAACAAUCAGGCUUGCCAAUUUGGAACAGAUUUAAGAAUACUGGAUUCUGGCGUCAAUUAACGGUCCGAGAAGGAAGAUUAUCAGAGAAUGAUGCUGAUGUCAAGAACCCUGAUGGCAACAUAUCAGAGGUCAUGCUUAUUGUUCAGGUUUGCUCAGCUGGAUUUGACAAUGAAGUAAUAAAUAGUGAACUUGGGAAGUUGGCUGAUGCAUUUGCUACUGGAGCUGCUGCAAAUUAUCCACCUUUGCCCUUAACAGUUUUGGUUCUUCAGGAUCACCAAGGAAUAUCAAAUGUUGCACCAGCAGACGCUUCGUUGCGUAUUUUGCCCCUUCCAAAUGGUGGAAGUAGGUCUGAAGUGGAGGCAGGCAAGAAUGUUGUCGAAGCAAGAAUUCAUGAUCAUAUAAGCAAUCUUCAGUUCUCCAUAUCACCAACAGCUUUUUUCCAGGUUAACACACUUGCUGCAGAGAAACUGUAUUCGCUUGCUGGAGAUUGGGCUGGCCUUGGUCCUGACACCUUGCUUUUUGAUAUAUGCUGUGGGACUGGAACUAUUGGGCUCACUUUAGCACAUCGUGUUGGAAUGGUUAUUGGAAUUGAAAUGAAUGCUUCAGCGGUUUCAGAUGCUCACCGGAAUGCUGAAAUUAAUGGCAUUAAAAACUGUAGAUUUGUUUGUGGAAAGGCAGAGAAUGUGAUGGCAUCUUUAUUGAAGGAGUACUUAAAUGGGCCUCAGAAACAAGAUGAGCUACAACUACCAAAUUCAAGUGAAAGUAAUGACAAUGACAUUACUAUAGACAAUGAUAAAGAUAUUCCCAUGGAUAAUGUGCUAGAUAAUAAUGAGAACUCAACCCAUGAGCUUGACAACAGGAAAGAUGCUUCUGGGUGUUCUGAAAAUGGUGGACAAGAAAACCAAAGCCAACUUCAGAAGAGUUCUUCCUCAGAAGAUGGGAGGUCAUCCGUCCCUCAGUUUAAAAAUAUUGUUGCUAUUGUUGAUCCUCCCCGUAGCGGGCUUCAUCCCAUUGUGAUCAAAGUUCUGAGAACUCAUUCACAUCUACGUCGACUUGUUUAUAUUUCCUGUAAUCCCGAAACCUUAGUAGCAAAUGCUAUUGAGCUGUGCACACCAUCACCCAAUAAAAUAGAGAAAGGGAAUAAAAAUAACCGGGGAUGGAGAAACAUGAGCAGCGCUGGUUUGGCACGCCACAGAGCGAAGUCUAUGCCCAUUUCAGAACCUUUUCGACCUGUAAAAGCUAUGGCUGUUGACCUCUUCCCACAUACCACACACUGUGAAAUGGUGAUGCUCCUUGAGAGGUAACUAGGCCAUUCACACAUCCUAUUAUUUGUUCCGCAGCAAAGAAUUGACGAAAGUUCAGUCAAGUUACAU
rnacentral:misc_RNA from 1 species